rnacentral:rRNA from 1 species
CAAUAGCGUAUAUUAAAGUUGUUGCAGUUAAAAGCUCGUAGUUGGAUUUCUGGCAGGAGUGACCGGCCGCACACACUGUGUGCGAGUUGCGUCAUUCUGGCCAUCCUUGGUGAGAUCCUGUUUGGCAUUAAGUUGUCGGGCAGGGGAUAACCAUCGUUUACUGUGAAAAAUUAAGAGUGUUUAAAGACAGGCUUAUGCCGUUGAAUAUAUUAGCAUGGAAUAAUAAGAUAGGACUUUGUAGUCUAUUUUGUUUGGUUUGUCGAGUCAAAGUAAAUGAUUAAUAGGGACAGUUGGGGGUAGUUCGUAUUUCUAUUGUCAGAGGUGAAAUUACUUGG